rnacentral:rRNA from 1 species
UACGGGGGGAGCUAGCGUUGUUCGGAUUUACUGGGCGUAAAGGGCGCGUAGGCGGUCGUGACAAGUCACUUGUGAAAUCUCCGGGCUUAACUCGGAAAGGUCAAGUGAUACUGUCGGACUAGAGUACAGAAGGGGCAACUGGAAUUCUCGGUGUAGCGGUGAAAUGCGUAGAUAUCGAGAGGAACACCUGCGGCGAAGGCGGGUUGCUGGGCUGAUACUGACGCUGAGGCGCGAAAGCUAGGGGAGCGAACGGG